UCCCUCAAAUUUUUGCUGUAAGUAGCAUUUUUGUAAUGAAUAGCGCCUUCCAAAUCACACAGAGAUGGAUACGUAGCUAAUACCUGCUUAGCACAAGACGACAGUUCUUCCGAAGCUAAAAAUAAUAAUGGACAUGGCACCUUUUCGGAUGGUAAUGUUAUGCCUGAAUAACGGAUAUUUCCCCGUUUCGAAAAUACUACCUAUGAAAAAGAAGAAAUAAUCUGAGAUUGUUGGGGAUUUUCUUCUAAUAUCGCUGUUUUCUAAUGUUUUCGAUUCCAUAAUGAAAGUUAAAAUGAAAAGUGAAUUCGUAAUUGAACCUAUCUCGUGUUAUCAGAUUGGAUUUAGGUCUGGGAACCCGACCCAUAUCGAUAUUGUAAGCAAUCUAAGACACAGAAUUUCCACCGUCGCUAUUUCUCUGGACAUACAAAAGGUAUUCGACUCGACCUGGCAUAAAGAACCGAUAAUUCUGUGUCCAAAUUCGCAAUUCAAUGUGUGAUUUCAAGUAUUAAGGAGUGGCAUCCCCGAAGGGAGCGUUUUUGCGCCCUUUUAUUCAAUAUAUACCUUAACGACUUCCCUCAUUGCUACAACAAUUCUCAAGCGAUUCUAUAUGCGGAUGAUUGCCUUAUUUACUCCCAUAACAAAUUCCCAAUAGAAGCCCUAAACCAUCACCCGAAAAUCUUAACAUCAUACGCAAUUUUUAUAAAGUAAAAGCGAAGCUAUCUGCAUACGUAAUGCAAGUGGAAAACGUCAUAGAUUUGUGUUGACGCAAAGCAAAAACCUAGACGGAAUCGAAAUACAGUUAAAAACUACUUUAAUGUAUUUGGAGUAAGUUUUAAUCUGCUGUUUUAAUGUUUUAAAUGAAUUUUUAUAAAAGCUUUAAAUUUAUUUUUUGAAGAUUUAUCUAUUGACAGCGUUUAAAAGUUCCAUACGUUUACAGAACUAAAAUUGAAUUCAGAUAUUGUUAUUUAGUUAUAAGACUACUCUGUGGUUGUU